rnacentral:rRNA from 1 species
GUGGGGAAUAUUGGACAAUGGGCGAAAGCCUGAUCCAGCCAUGCCGCGUGUGUGAAGAAGGUCUUCGGAUUGUAAAGCACUUUAAGUUGGGAGGAAGGGCAGUAAGUUAAUACCUUGCUGUUUUGACGUUACCGACAGAAUAAGCACCGGCUAACUCUGUGCCAGCAGCCGCGGUAAUACAGAGGGUGCAAGCGUUAAUCGGAAUUACUGGGCGUAAAGCGCGCGUAGGUGGUUCGUUAAGUUGGAUGUGAAAGCCCCGGGCUCAACCUGGGAACUGCAUCCAAAACUGGCGAGCUAGAGUACGGUAGAGGGUGGUGGAAUUUCCUGUGUAGCGGUGAAAUGCGUAGAUAUAGGAAGGAACACCAGUGGCGAAGGCGACCACCUGGACUGAUACUGACACUGAGGUGCGAAAGCGUGGGGAGCAAACAGGAUUAGAUACCCGGGUAGUC